rnacentral:ncRNA from 1 species
UUGUCGGGGUGCCUAGUUAAUUUAAAUUAACGUUUAGGCUGAGAUCACUAAAGUGAAUCCCGUUGUACCUGAUCUGGAUAAUGCCAGCGUAGGGAACAAGGA